AGAGCACAGGGUGAAUGCCUUGGCACCAGGAGCCGAUGAAGGACGCGAUAAGCUGCGAUAAGCUACGGUAAGGCGCAAAUAGCCGUUGACCCGUAGAUUUCCGAAUGGGGAAACCCACAUGAGUUAAAUGCUCAUGUAUCGUAUAGUGAAUACAUAGCUAUACGAAGGGAUACGUGGGGAACUGAAACAUCUAAGUACCCACAGGAAAAGAAAUCAACAGAGAUUCCGCUAGUAGUGGCGAGCGAACGCGGAAGAGGCCAAACCAAGGAACUUCGGUUCUUUGGGGUUACGGACCGGCAUAAUGAUUCACAAAGUUUAGCGGAAUGAGCGGUUGGAACACCGAGCCCAUAGAGGGUAAGAGUCCCGUACGCGAAAAAUGGAGUGACAGGCCGGUAUCCAGAGUACCACGAGGCACGUGAAAUCUUGUGGGAAGUCGGGAGGACCACCUUCCAAGCCUAAAUACUACCUGGUGACCGAUAGUGGAGCAGUACCGUGAGGGAAAGGUGAAAAGAACCCCGGGAGGGGAGUGAAAGAGAACCUGAAACCUUGUGCUUACAAACAGUCGGAGGGCGUUAAUGCCUGACGGCGUACUUUUUGUAGAACGGUCCGGCGAGUUAUUGUAUAUGGCAAGGUUAAGUGCUUCAGGCACGGAGCCGCAGCGAGAGCGAGUCUUAAUAGGGCGCUUAGUCAUGUGCAAUAGACCCGAAACCGGGUGACCUAUCCAUGGACAGGCUGAAGUUGGAGUAAAAUCCAAUGGAGGGCCGAACCCACUGCUGUUGAAAAAGUAGGGGAUGAGCUGUGGAUAGGGGAGAAAUUCCAAUCGAACUCGGAGAUAGCUGGUUCUCCUCGAAAUAGCUUUAGGGCUAGCCUCAGAUUAAUCUAGCGGAGGUAAAGCACUGAAUGGGCUAGGGGCCUUACCAGGUUACCAAACCCUAUCAAACUCUGAAUGCCGCAUAGAUGAUGUCUGGGAGUCAGACAAUGUGAGAUAAGUUUCAUUGUCAAAAGGGAAACAGCCCAGACCGCCAACUAAGGUCCCCAAAUCAUGGUUAAGUGGUAAAGGAUGUGGAUUUGCUAAGACAGCUAGGACGUUGGCUUAGAAGCAGCCACUCAUUUAAAGAGUGCGUAACAGCUCACUAGUCGAGUGAGUCUGCGCCGAAAAUUCUCGGGGCUAAACCAUGUACCGAAGUUGCGGAUGUGAGCGGAUUUUAUUGAUAGUUCAUCAAAAGGGAAGAGAAUUUGGUGGCGAAGCCACUAAAUUCGAUUAAGUUAAAGUACGUACCGAAGUCAUGAGAGGUAGUAUUUUCUGAUGAUGAAAAAAAGAUGAGCUAUGAAUAAAAUCUGCUCACGUGGUAGAGGAGCUUAGCAUACGGAGUGAAGCAUGAUCGAGAGGACAUGUGGACUGUAUGGUAGUGAGAAUGCCGGAAUGAGUAGCGAGAGUGAAGUGAGAAUCUUUACCGCCGAAAAUCUAAGGUUUCCUGGGGAAGGCUCGUCCUCCCAGGGUCAGUCGGGGCCUAAGCUCAGGCCGAAAGGCGUAGGCGAUGGACAACAGGUUGAUAUUCCUGUACCACCGAUGUUCGUUAUUAGAGACGCGGGGACGCAGGGGGAUAGUUCGUGCCAGCUGCUGGAAUAGCUGGUCCAAGCGAGGUAGAUAGUCCUGUAGUAAAGUACGCAGGAUGUUUCGAAGGCGUGAUGGGGAGGGAAAUUAGAGUACCGAAGUGAAUGAUUCCGCACUGACGAGAAAAGCCGCUAUCGAGAACAAAGGUGCCCGUACCGCAAACCGACACAGGUAGAUGAGGAGAGAAUCCUAAGGCGAUCGGAAGAAAGGUUGUUAAGGAACUCGGCAAAUUGAUCCCGUAAGUUAGCAAGAAGGGAUGCCCGAGCCUAGGAGUGUUUACAUUUCUAGGGGAGGGCCGCAGAGAAAUGGCCCAGGCAACUGUUUAUCAAAAACACAGGUCUCUGCUAAAUCGAAAGAUGAAGUAUAGGGGCUGACGCCUGCCCGGUGCUGGAAGGUUACGGGGAACUGUUAGCGCAAGCGAAGCAGUGAACUUAAGCCCCAGUAAACGGCGGCCGUAACUAUAACGGUCCUAAGGUAGCGAAAUUCCUUGUCAGGUAAGUUCUGACCCGCACGAAUGGCGUAAUGAUCUGGGCACUGUCUCGACAACCUAUCCGGUGAAAUUGUAGUACUCGUGAAGAUGCGAGUUACCCGCGACUAGACGGAAAGACCCCAUGGAGCUUUACUGUAGCCUGAUACUGUGUUUCGGUAUUUCAUGUACAGGAUAGGAGGGAGGCUUUGAAGCCAGGACGUCAGUUCUGGUGGAGCCAUCGUUGGGAUACCUCUCUUGGAGUACUGGAACACUAACCAGAACCCGUGAUCCGGGUUUGGGACAAUGUCAGGUGGGCAGUUUGACUGGGGCGGUCGCCUCCAAAAAGGUAACGGAGGCGCCCAAAGGUCUCCUCAGCACGGUUGGAAAUCGUGCAACGAGUGUAAAGGCAUAAGGAGGCUUAACUGCGAGACAAACAAGUCGAGCAGAUACGAAAGUAGGGCUUAGUGAUCCGGCGGUAUGAGAGUGGAAUUGCCGUCGCUUAACGGAUAAAAGCUACCCUGGGGAUAACAGGCUGAUCUCCCCCAAGAGUUCACAUCGACGGGGAGGUUUGGCACCUCGAUGUCGGCUCAUCACAUCCUGGAGCUGUAGCAGGUUCCAAGGGUUUGGCUGUUCGCCAAUUAAAGUGGUACGCGAGCUGGGUUCAGAACGUCGUGAGACAGUUCGGUCCCUAUCUGUCGUGGGCGCAGGAUAUUUGAAGGGAGCUUUCCCUAGUACGAGAGGACCGGGAUGGACGCACCUCUGGUGCACCAGUUGUCACGCCAGUGGCACAGCUGGGUAGCUAAGUGCGGAUGAGAUAAACGCUGAAAGCAUCUAAGCGUGAAGCUCGCCCUAAGAUGAGAUAUCCCACCAUUUAU
rnacentral:rRNA from 1 species